rnacentral:lncRNA from 1 species
CUCAGGAUGAAGCUAGAGAAAGGAGGAAGGGGAGAAGGAGAGUCCUGGAGAGGAAAGUCAGAGAGAAGUUGGGGUUUAGGACAGGCGUCAAAUCCCAAAUUUUAUUUCAUUGGCCAUGAAUGUAUUUCAUUUGAUUUCUUUUUUAUGUAACAGCUUCAUCCUCUAUCCAAAGGACAUGCCCUUGGAAAAAGAGAGAUCUCUUCUAUGAAUCAAAUUCUCACUGGAGUGAGCCAGAAGCUGCACUAUUUCUGACUGCUAUAUUUUGGAAGAAAAGGAGCUUCAAUUCUGGUUGGGGAAUUGGACCUGCCUGACAAGAUACCCUAUGGAUCCAUUUCCAAAGGCAGGGAUCAUAGACACAGGACUAGACAAGGGAGGGCAGCAGAAGAAGUCCAUGGGAAGGGAGUAAAGGAAGAAAAGACAGAUGAAGAUGCAAAGAGAAUUUCAAAUGUGGAAAAGAGGAAAGGGGUUGAUAGAAUUGAUGGUAAAUGGCCCAAAUUUUCUCCAUAAAUAUCAGGAAACAUACUUUGGUGCCUGUUCCAGGGCUCGAUGGUAUCAGUGCUUCCUGAAUUCCUUGAAGCUGAAUCCAGAAAUAAUGAUAGAGAUCAUUAAAAACUCUUCAGCUUCAUUAAUACUUCUUCCAAAUUUCUCCAGUUGUAUCCAAAGAGAAAACACUGAAAAUCACAAUGAGGAGAUCUGCAGAGUUUCUCCAGCUCUCCUUACAUCCCCCCCCCCCCAAUUCCUGGAGCUGAACCUCUGUGCCCAUUCCUGUGAAAUACAGAAAUAGUGACUCCAUGGGCUCACAAACCCAUUGUUAAUUCCAGAGUCUCCGAGGGAGCCUAAGAAAAAAAAUUACCUUUGAAAAGCACCAGAAGGAAGAGGAGCUCCCUGCCAAAUCUCAUGCUGGUGAUCUGAGGUAGAAAGCAAAUGAUUUAGGAAUGGAGUCGAAAGGAGGUGAUGUGAGAG